UGUAAUGACUACAACAUUAAUGCACCAAAUCCCAUUAGAACUCCACAGUUAAGUGCAUUUUGGCUAGAGUAGUUUGAUAUGAGUGACCUCCCAGGAAGUCCUAGUGUUUUAUAU
rnacentral:rRNA from 1 species